rnacentral:rRNA from 1 species
CGAACGGGUGAGUAACACGUAGGUAACCUGCCCAUGUGCCCGGGAUAACUUCUGGAAACGGAUGCUAAAACCGGAUAGGUAGCAGACAAGCAUUUGACUGCUAUUAAAGUGGCUAAGGCCAUGAACAUGGACGGACCUGCGGUGCAUUAGCUAGUUGGUGAGGUAACGGCCCACCAAGGCGACGAUCAGUAGCCGACCUGAGAGGGUGACCGGCCACAUUGGGACUGAGACACGGCCCAAACUCCUACGGGAGGCAGCAUG